AACGAACGCUGGCGGCAUGCCUAACACAUGCAAGUCGAACGAGACCUUCGGGUCUAGUGGCGCACGGGUGCGUAACGCGUGGGAACCCGCCCUUAGGUUCGGAAUAACUCCCCGAAAGGGGUGCUAAUACCGGAUAAUGUCUUCGGACCAAAGAUUUAUCGCCUUUGGAUGGGCCCGCGUUGGAUUAGCUAGUUGGUAGGGUAAAAGCCUACCAAGGCGACGAUCCAUAGCUGGUCUGAGAGGAUGAUCAGCCACACUGGGACUGAGACACGGCCCAGACUCCUACGGGAAGCAGCAGUGGGGAAUAUUGGACAAUGGGCGAAAGCCUGAUCCAGCAAUGCCGCGUGAGUGAUGAAGGCCUUAGGGUUGUAAAGCUCUUUUACCCGGGAUGAUAAUGACAGUACCGGGAGAAUAAGCUCCGGCUAACUCCGUG
rnacentral:rRNA from 1 species